UCCCGUAUUUGGCCAGUGCCCUCGGCCCACUAUGCGUGUCUGAGAGUCGGGUUGCUCGGGAUUGCAGCCUGAAUGGGAGGUAAAUUUCUCCUAAAGCUAAAUACUGGCGAGAGACCGAUAGCGAACAAGUACCGUGAGGGAAAGAUGCAAAGAACUUUGAAAAGAGAGUUAAAAAGUACCUGAACUCGUUGGGGGGAAAGCGUUUGCUUCCAGUGUGCGCGCGUCAAUUCAGCCUCUGGGUGUACUUUGGCGUGCGCGGUCAGGGUGGGUUGUGCGCGGCGUUGAUGUCCCCCGCGAGGCCUUCGGGCAACCGGGUGGUCUUUUGCGCUGCCUGCGACCGAGGCUCGCUCUGUUGUAGGGUCGGUGGAUCGUUUUGGCGUCUCACAAGCAACUUGUGCUCGCCGGGCGUGCAGCCUUACCUGCUCUCUAGCGUGACCCUGACGAAAUGGGCGCAACCGACCCGUCUAGAAACACGGACCAAGGAGUCUGACGACUGCGCGAGUCUUCGGGUGGCAACCCCGUGGGCGUAAUGAAAGUGAGAGAUGCUCAGCAUCGACCGACCGUGAUCUCCUGUGAUUGGUUUGAGUAUGAGCGUUGUCGCCGGGACCCGAAAGAUGGUGAACUAUGCCUGAGUAGGGUGAAGCCUGAAGAAAUUCAGGUGGAGGCUCGUAGCGAUACUGACGUGCAAAUCGUUCGUCGAACUUGGGUAUAGGGGCGAAAGACUAAUCGAACCAUCUAGUAGCUGGUUCCCUCCGAAGUUUCCCUCAGGAUAGCUGGAGCUCUUUGUUCAGUUUUGU
rnacentral:rRNA from 1 species